rnacentral:lncRNA from 1 species
CUAAGGCUGCGUUUGGAUUGUUGGUGAAAUCUUACAAACGUAAAUACUUACAAUUGUAUAUUACGAGUGUCCAGUUUGGAUUGUUAGUGAAAUCUUACAAACGUAAAUACUUACAAUUGUAUAUUACCAGUGUCCAGUAAUAUACAACCUACAAUUGUAUAUUACCGGUGUCCAGUAAUAUACAACCGGUGAUAUUUUCAGCUUGUAAAAUCCCAUGUGUGGGCAGUUUUCUGAAAUCCGAUGCCGAUACUCUGCCACGAAGACGACGACGCUGCGAGGAUCCUCCGCCGCCGACGACCUCCUCGCGGCCCUCUCCUCCUCGAGCUCCCG